rnacentral:rRNA from 1 species
GAUGAACGCUGGCGGCGUGCCUAAUACAUGCAAGUCGAGCGAACGGACGAGAAGCUUGCUUCUCUGAUGUUAGCGGCGGACGGGUGAGUAACACGUGGAUAACCUACCUAUAAGACUGGGAUAACUUCGGGAAACCGUAGCUAAUACCGGAUAAUAUUUUGAACCGCAUGGUUCAAAAGUGAAAGACGGUCUUGCUGUCACUUAUAGAUGGAUCCGCGCUGCAUUAGCUAGUUGGUAAGGUAACGGCUUACCAAGGCAACGAUGCAUAGCCGACGUGAGAGGGGGAUCGGCCACACUGGAACUUGGACACGGUCCAGAGUCCUACGGGAGGCAGCAGUAGGGAAUCGUACGCAAUGGGCGGAAGCCUGACGGAGCAGCGCCGCGUGAGUGAUGUAGGUCCUCGGAUCGUAAAACUCUGUUAUUAGGGAAGAACAUAUGUGUAAGUAACUGUGCACAUCUUGACGGUACCUAAUCAGAAAGCCACGGCUAACUACGUG